AUUGAACGCUGGCGGCAGGCUUAACACAUGCAAGUCGAGCGGAGUGAUGGUGCUUGCACUAUCACUUAGCGGCGGACGGGUGAGUAAUGCUUAGGAAUCUGCCUAUUAGUGGGGGACAACAUCUCGAAAGGGAUGCUAAUACCGCAUACGUCCUACGGGAGAAAGCAGGGGAUCACUUGUGACCUUGUGCUAAUAGAUGAGCCUAAGUCGGAUUAGCUAGUUGGUGGGGGAAAGGCCUACCAAGGGGACGAUCUGUAGCGGGUCUGAGAUGAUGAUCCGCCACACUGGGACUGAGACACGGCCCAGACUCCUACGGGAGGCAGCAGUGGGGAAUAUUGGACAAUGGGGGGAACCCUGAUCCAGCCAUGCCGCGUGUGUGAAGAAGGCCUUAUGGUUGUAAAGCACUUUAAGCGAGGAGGAGGCUCUUUUGGUUAAUACCCAAGAUGAGUGGACGUUACUCGCAGAAUAAGCACCGGCUAACUCUGUGCCAGCAGCCGCCGUAAAAC
rnacentral:rRNA from 1 species